GGCUUGGUGGUGGAUGGUCCACAUCUGCUGUCCUUAAAGGAGCGAAAUCUGUGUUUCAUGCAGAAGGAGCCCGUUCGAUUCGGGUCCAAGCCA